AUCCUUCAGUUCAUGAGCCUGAUGAUUGGGUGUUCAUGCCACAUGGAUGAGAUGUUCUCCCUCAAACCUUGUUAUGACGUGGGCACAUUAUCCAUCUGAUG